rnacentral:rRNA from 1 species
CACUCCGCNUGGGGAGUACGACCGCAAGGUUGAAACUCAAAGGAAUUGACGGGGGCCCGCACAAGCGGUGGAGCAUGUGGUUUAAUUCGAAGCAACGCGAAGANCCUUACCAGGUCUUGACAUCCCGAUGCCCGCUCUAGAGAUAGAGUUUUACUUUUUGUACAUCGGAGACAGGUGGUGCAUGGUUGUCGUCAGCUCGUGUCGUGAGAUGUUGGGUUAAGUCCCGCAACGAGCGCAACCCUUAUUGUUAGUUGCCAUCAUUAAGUUGGGCACUCUAGCGAGACUGCCGGUAAUAAACCGGAGGAAGGUGGGGAUGACGUCAAAUCAUCAUGCCCCUUAUGACCUGGGCUACACACGUGCUACAAUGGUUGGUACAACGAGUCGCAAGCCGGUGACGGCAAGCUAAUCUCUGAAAGCCAAUCUCAGUUCGGAUUGUAGGCUGCAACUCGCCUACAUGAAGUCGGAAUCGCUAGUAAUCGCGGAUCAGCACGCCGCGGUGAAUACGUUCCCGGGCCUUGUACACACCGCCCGUCACACCACGAGAGUUUGUAACACCCAAAGUCGGUGAGGUAACCAUUUAUGGGNCCA